CAAAAAAUAACUCUGAUUUACCUUCAUGCAUUGAUAGACAAACGGUAUUUAUAUGUGGUUAAUUAUAGCAUGUGACAUGACACAUGAUACAAAAAUUUAUGUAAUUUUAUAAUUCCGAUGUUAUGUUAUAUGAACUUUUACAUAUCUUGUUAAUUCACAUUACAUAUUACAUAUUGAUGGUCUACUUGCAAAACUUCGUAUGUCUAAAAUCGAUAACUUUACAAAAGUAACAAAAAUUGUUUUUAAAUAACGUUUCAAUACAUUAUAUUUAUUACAAUCGCUGCUCAAUCGCCCUAUAAUCCAUUUAUAACAUUAAAGAAUUCAAAAGGCUUGGGGCAGUCUAAUGAAUACAACGAUACCAGUAACUCGAUUUCGGAAAUUUCAGACUUACGACGAUAUGGAAGUAUAAUAGAUAGUAAACCAUAUUUUAUAUUGCAUAAUAUUUUCCCUUUAUACAAUAUCUUUUUUUUUCAAUUUCUGUGUCUAUAGGUUUAUUAAAAAUGCAGUCUUAUCUUCCGAUAGAAAAAUGCGUAAAUAUAUAGUAAGGCAUCGCAGAAAAAAGUAUCUAAUAGGCAAGCUUGUAAAAUUGAGAAAUAGUAUAUAUCUCUGUAUAUCGCACAAGACAGCUCGAAUUUCUUACUUGUUACUAUUAUCGAGAAGUUUUGCGAAGGGGAUAACUGUCGUCGAACUAGGGGUGACACUUUUAAUAUUUAAUGUGCCUUUCACAGUUAAGUUCUCGUACUUAUUUCACGAGCGUGCGUGACCACAUUCAUCCUUAGGGUUGAAAGAGCGAAAGAGUAGUCUCAUCAUGUUAGUCAAUAAUAACAAGGAUAUUUCGAUGUCUUCAGGUUACAGUGAUUUUGUGUGGGCAGUGAAACUACAUUACUUUGGUUUGGAAAUACUCGGCUUAUGGCCUAAAAUCGACAAAUGUGCACGUUUAUGGUCUCGAAUUCGUGUAGGCUUUAUUUUAACUUUGUUAAUAUUUAUUAGUGACAUUCCGUUAAUUUUUGCGAUUGUCCAAACAUGGAGCAAUAUGGUAUCUCUAAUAAAUACUUUACAACUGGCAUUACCCUUCAUGGUAGUAUCAGUGAAAUAUUUUAUCAUACAAUGGAAACGAACAGUUUUCUUAUCCAUUGUAAAUAUGAUGGCGGAAGAUUGGAUGGCAAUCAAGCUGGAUACAGAAAGAAAUGUGAUGAUAAAACAAGCACGAAUUGCUCGAUCAAUCAUGAUCAUUGGAUACAUUUUCGUAGCACUAGCGUGUUUAUCAUUGAUUCUCCCUUCUUAUUUUGGAAUAGAAGUAAUAGAUACAAUGAAUUUAACAAAUAGAAAUAAGCCGUUACCACUUCAGACAUAUCACUACGACACAGAUAAGAGUCCGCAGUUUGAAUUAACAUUACUCAUUCAUACAUUAACAAUCUUGUUUGCAGGUAUUAUUUACCUAUGUCUAGAUAAUUCUUUAAUACUAAUAACUUUUCAUAUUCGUGGCCAAUUAGAGAACUUUAGAUGCCGGUUAGUUAGAUUGGUCUGUUGUAAAAAUUUCAACAAGGUUUUGAAUAAUAUUAUAAUAACACAUUUACGACUUAUCAGAUUUGCCAAUAAUAUUGAAAAUAUAUACUCUUUAAUCAUUUUAAUAUCAAUACUUAAUUUUAGUGUCGUAUUUUGUUUAUGCGGUUUUUUAAUAACUAUUGUAAGUUUUAAUAAAAAAAAUAUAAAAAGCAUUUUAAUGGUACAUAUAUUAUUUCGUUUUCUAAUAACGUAUAAAUUACAGAUAUUUAAUGACAGGAAAAUAAAUGAAACAGCUCUCGCACAAGUAUACCUUUCAACAACUAUUCUUCUUUGCUUAUUGAUAAAUACUUUUCUUUAUUGUGGUGCAGGACAACUUAUUAUAGAGCAAUGUAAUAAAGUACAUUAUGCUGUUUGUGAUCUUGAAUGGUACAAAUUGGAAGCAAGAAAAGCGAGAAAUAUUAUUUUAUUAAUGAUGCAAACUAGUCACCCAUUUUGCAUGACUGCUGGAAAUAUUAUUCCAUUAACGAUGGCUACUUUCGUUAACGUAAGAUUAUUUAAAAUUUGCUAAAUUUAAUUUCGCUUCUUUAUUUUAACCAAUAGUCUAUUUUAAUAAUGCUCGUGCAAGUAUAUGAUUUUCUAAAGAAAUCUCACUGAAUAUCAAAUAUACUCGUCAAAUUGAGAUUAUGAUACAUGUAUACUUAUCAAAAAAUUACUUUUUAAAAGUAACUUGUUACUGUUAUUUGAAAAAUAACGAUACUUACUCGUUACUUUUCCCGUUACUUUUUUAAUGCUUAAGUAAAAUUGGAUUAAAUAAAAAAAAUUAUUUUUUAAAUAUUUUUUAUUAUGAUACUAAUAAGAACAAUAAAUUUUUUUAUUUUAAGUUUGUAAGACAAUAGAUAACAUGUUAUUUUUAUAUUUAUGUAUAAAAAAUUUUCACGUAAUUUCAAGUAAACAUAACUUUGGGAAAAAUUGUAUUUUAAAAUUGUUUUUGCAUUUUGAAGGGUUAAGUUUGUACUUCAAGAGACUUUUGAAUUUAUUUUCUCCUCAACCCUCAACCUCAUAUUUUCAAAAACAAAGCUUUUUUAAGUUUUCAAAGGAAAUGCAUAUUUUGAUGCAGUUUGUGGAGGAACUUUGUUUUCAAAUAUUAUGUGCAAAUCAUCAUAAAAUUUGAACUUUUCCUUGCAAAUAAAGAAAAAGGAAGAUUCUUACGAUCCUCUUUGGCAGAGUUACGCAGUAUUAUGAAGCAAAGUUACCAAUAUAUUUGUGCUUAGUUGCCGCCAAAAUUAGCAUUACCCAAUGCAUACCAUGGUGAAGUUGCAUAUUGGCACGGUUGCCACCUUUCGAUUAGUGUUCUUUUAAAAAUCGAUGAAUCUCUUUUUAUAAUCGCCAUAAAUUGAUUACUAUUGUCUAAAUUAUCUAAAUUUCUAGGAAAUGGUCAAAUUUGAUUCUCAAAUUCCAGAGAUUCUUUAAAAAAUUUCUGACUGAAAAUCAAAGAGAUCGUUAGACUUUUAAACAAAAGAUAAUCAAAAUUUCAAAUUUUCAAGCUGGAGAGUCAGAUGUUCAUUACAAAAUUGGAGUUUUCGGCCGAAAACUGGAGCUGGUGGCAACCGUGGUUGUUGAUUAUAAUUCCCGUGUACAUACAUGUACAUGUAUUAAAGUCGUCAUUUGGAUAUAUAUCGCUUCUAUUGACGAAACAUAGUUGAAGAUUUACAUUUACAUUAAUACUUCUUAUUGUCGCAAAAAAAUCAACGUGUUUAUAGUUAAUUUAGUUACAUAAAGAAUUUUUAUAUUCCACAUUUGUUACUGUAGAAAUAAAGUUUUAUAGUAUUUAUUGCUUAUUGCUGUAAAUUACACACGUAUACUUAUUUUAAGACGUCAUAUUGUCGCUAUAAAGAAUACUGAAAAAUAGUGACUACUGUUCGGUGGGAAAAAAACUUAAAUUUUCACCACUGUGUUUUCGUUUAUUGUUUAUUUCAACAACUAUCACUGUUGUAAAGUUUAUUACGACAUUAUCGCAUAGUAUUAUUCGCGUGGCUCGAGUUCCUCGCCGAGCGAGAGGCGACAGCGCCGUAUAGCGAUCGCGCCUUGUGUUUUUGGAGUUAUUUUGCUCUGGGCCCGUAUUAGAGACACGAUUAUUUAUGAAUAGGUGAACUCGUAUUACAGCUCGCGGAGGCACGGCAGGGAGAGAGAAGACUUAGACGCCGAUUUCGAUCAAAGCGGAAUAAGUGUCGGAGUGCCUUCCGGACCUCUUAUUUAUCAACUUACGAAUUGCCGUGUUUUCACCCCGUUUGGUUCCGAUUUCCGAAAUUUUUACCCCGAUUAGGCAAUCCGGAUCUUUGGUUUCCAAACGCGGCGAAUGAAAGACGAUCGGCCAUUUAGAUACGUUCAGAAUUGGAGGAAAAAUAUUUUUUUGUACACGGAACUCUAUUAUGUAAUAUUAUAAAAUAAAUUUUAUAAUAGUUUUUUU